UGGGGAAUAUUGCACAAUGGACGAAAGUCUGAUGCAGCAACGCCGCGUGGAGGAUGACACAUUUCGGUGCGUAAACUCCUUUUAUGUGAGAAGAUAAUGACGGUAUCACAUGAAUAAGCACCGGCUAACUCCGUGCCAGCAGCCGCGGUAAUACGGAGGGUGCAAGCGUUACUCGGAAUCACUGGGCGUAAAGCGCGCGCAGGCGGCUUUGUAAGUUGGAUGUGAAAUCCUAUGGCUCAACCAUAGAACUGCAUCCAAAACUACUUAGCUAGAGUCUGGGAGGGGAAGAUGGAAUUAGUGGUGUAGGGGUAAAAUCCGUAGAGAUCACUAGGAAUACCAAAAGCGAAGGCGAUCUUCUGGAACAGUACUGACGCUGAGGCGCGAAAGCGUGGGGAGCAAACA
rnacentral:rRNA from 1 species